rnacentral:rRNA from 1 species
GACGAACGCUGGCGGCGUGCUUAACGCAUGCAAGUCGAACGGAAAGGCCCUGCUUUUGUGGGGUGCUCGAGUGGCGAACGGGUGAGUAACACGUGAGUAACCUGCCCUUGACUUUGGGAUAACUUCAGGAAACUGGGGCUAAUACCGGAUAGGAGCUCCUGAUGCAUGGUGGGGGUUGGAAAGUUUCGGCGGUUGGGGAUGGACUCGCGGCUUAUCAGCUUGUUGGUGGGGUAGUGGCUUACCAAGGCUUUGACGGGUAGCCGGCCUGAGAGGGUGACCGGCCACAUUGGGACUGAGAUACGGCCCAGACUCCUACGGGAGGCAGCAGUGGGGAAUAUUGCACAAUGGGCGGAAGCCUGAUGCAGCAACGCCGCGUGCGGGAUGACGGCCUUCGGGUUGUAAACCGCUUUCGCCUGUGACGAAGCGUGAGUGACGGUAAUGGGUAAAGAAGCACCGGCUAACUACGUG